ACUAUUUUAUCUACUGAGAUACUUACCAAUUUUCAUUAAUUAUUUAGGUUUUAUAUUAAAAAAGUAUUAUUUUAGAUGACUCGUAGAAAAAGUAUUAUAUACAAUAGUGAUAUAAUCAAGCUUUUCAAUCUCGUACCUUACUUAGGCAACUCAGCGAGCUUCGUUGCCUAAACAUGGUACUCGACUGAAAAGCUCUCUAUUAUCUCACGAUUGUAUAAAAUACUAUU